rnacentral:rRNA from 1 species
GACGAACGCUAGCGGCAGGCUUAACACAUGCAAGUCGAGGGGUAUAGUUCUUCGGAACUAGAGACCGGCGCACGGGUGCGUAACGCGUAUGUAAUCUACCUUUUACAGGGGGAUAGCCCAGAGAAAUUUGGAUUAAUACCCCAUAGUAUGUUGUGGUGGCAUCACUAUAACAUUAAAGUUCCAACGGUAAAAGAUGAGCAUGCGUCCCAUUAGCUAGAUGGUAAGGUAACGGCUUACCAUGGCUACGAUGGGUAGGGGUCCUGAGAGGGAGAUCCCCCACACUGGGACUGAGACACGGACCAGACCCCUACGGGAGGCAGCAGUGAGGAAUAUUGGACAAUGGGCGCAAGCCUGAUCCAGCCAUGCCGCGUGCAGGAUGACGGUCCUAUGGAUUGUAAACUGCUUUUGUACAGGAAGAAACACUCCCUCGUGAGGGAGCUUGACGGUACUGUAAGAAUAAGGAUCGGCUAACUCCGUGCCAGCCGCCGCCGUAA